UAGCAGGAUAGUUACAGUGCAGCUCGUGCAGUGCUGUAUUGUCGUUCCCCCUGCUAAAAGUAACAUGUCUCCAGCUAUCCCUGUUUGUCUACAUCCACAGGCAACCAGGGACGCAAGGUCUCAGACAC